GUCCACGCCCUAAACGAUGGCAACUAGUUGUUGGGGGAUGAACUCCCUUAGUAACGCAGCUAACGCGUGAAGUUGCCCGCCUGGGGAGUACGGUCGCAAGAUUAAAACUCAAAGGAAUUGACGGGGGCCCGCACAAGCGGUGGAUGAUGUGGUUUAAUUCGAUGCAACGCGAAAAACCUUACCUACCCUUGACAUGCCAGGAAGGCCGCAGAGAUGCGGCUGUGCCCGAAAGGGAAUCUGGACACAGGUGCUGCAUGGCUGUCGU
rnacentral:rRNA from 1 species